GUAUGCGGAAGGAUCAUUAACACGUAUCCAACGUUAAACCCCUGUGAACGUUAAGACGUCUCUCCUAGGGUUCAGUCGAAAAAACUAGCAAUCCCUGUACUCCUCCGAGAAAUGUAAGGAGGAGGGGAGUUCUGGCAGUGCACCCUAGUCAGCGCUUGUUUUAUCUUGGUUCUC
rnacentral:misc_RNA from 1 species